rnacentral:lncRNA from 1 species
UUGCAUCCAUCAAAUUGCUUGGAUCACAAACCUGAGUGGGUGUAACCUACAACGAAUAUGUUGCUUGGAUCACAAGCUAGUAGAUGUUGCUCCUCAUGAAACGUGUCCUCGAGAAGCUGGGAGGAGGAAGAGAGCAAGAACCGGAAAAGAAGAACAUUCAUAUCCUCAUAAGCAGGUUCGUGAUACUCGUCGUCAUCUUUUAAUUUGGUUUUGAGAAUUGAAUUCGAGUGGUAUUAUGCAUAGAGAUGAUAUCUCUGAUUCUCUCAUGGGUUUGUUUUGUAUUAUGUGUAACAUAUAGGUAGUUCUUCCCUCAUGAUGAUCC